CGACUCUUAGCUCAGUUGGUAGAGCAGCAGACUCUUAAUUUAUUUGCCCGGGUUUGAGCGCCCCUGAGAGUCUA
rnacentral:tRNA from 1 species